rnacentral:rRNA from 1 species
UACGUAGGGGGCGAGCGUUGUCCGGAUUUAUUGGGCGUAAAGAGCGUGUAGGCGGUUCGGUAAGUCUGUCGUGAAAUCCUGAGGCUCAACCUCGGGCGUGCGAUGGAUACUGCCGGGCUAGAGGGUGGUAGAGGCGAGUGGAAUUCCCGGUGUAGCGGUGAAAUGCGCAGAUAUCGGGAGGAACACCAGUAGCGAAGGCGGCUCUCUGGACCAGCACUGACACUGAGGCACGAAAGCGUGGGGAGCAAACAGG